rnacentral:lncRNA from 1 species
UGCCUUGGGCGCUGAUGCUGCAGGCGAGAGUCAUCUACUGUAGAAGCUCGGAUGGGGACUUUUCGUUGGUGAAGUUCGAUAGAAAUCCGAUUACCAGAGAAGCCCGUCUGGGGUUUGCCUGAUGUGGUUGCUCGUCUGAAGAUUGUCCACUGGAGAGGUCUAGUUGCACAAGGAAUCCGGCAGAAGGUCGGCUGGCGCUGUCGAAGGUUGAUGGCCAGAG